AAUAAGCGGAGGAAAAGAAACCAACAGGGAUUGCCCUAGUAACGGCGAGUGAAGCGGCAACAGCUCAAAUUUGAAAUCUGGCUUCGGCCCGAGUUGUAAUUUGCAGAGGAUGUUUCUGGCGCGGUGCCUUCCGAGUUCCCUGGAACGGGACGCCACAGAGGGUGAGAGCCCCGUAUGGUUGGACACUAAGCCUGUGUGAAACUCCUUCGACGAGUCGAGUAGUUUGGGAAUGCUGCUCAAAAUGGGAGGUAAAUCUCUUCUAAAGCUAAAUACCGGCCAGAGACCGAUAGCGCACAAGUAGAGUGAUCGAAAGAUGAAAAGCACCUUGAAAAGGGGGUUAAACAGUACGUGAAAUUGUUGAAAGGGAAGCGCUUGUGACCAGACUUGCGCCGGGCGGUUCAUCCGGGGUUCUCCCCGGUGCACUCCGCCCGGUUCAGGCCAGCAUCGGUUUUCGUUGGGGGAUAAGAACGUCAGGAACGUGGCCCUCCUUCGGGUGGGUGUUAUAGCCUGGCGUACGAUACCCUGACGGGGACCGAGGUUCGCGCUCCGCAAGGAUGCUGGCGUAAUGGUCAUCAGCGACCCGUCUUGAAACACGGACCAAGGAGUCGUCCAUUAGAGCGAGCGUUUGGGUGUCAAACCCGCACGCGUAAUGAAAGUGAAAUUAGGUGAGAGCUUCGGCGCAUCAUCGACCGAUCCUGAUGUUCUCGGAUGGAUUUGAGUAAGAGUUUUAACGGACGGACCCGAAAGACAGUGAACUAUGCUUGUAUAGGGUGAAGCCAGAGGAAACUCUGGUGGAGGCUCGCAG
rnacentral:rRNA from 1 species